AUUUACAAAACAAAUACACAAGUCUUAAGGCAAACCUGAGUUUGAGCAUAAGUAAUGCGAGCAAACUAAAGCACUCGACAAGACAGCCCAAACAUAAUCUACUUUUAUCUAACAACUUGGGCACAACAACAACAAAAAAACGGAAUAUUACCAAAAAUUAGUUAAAACACGUUCAUAAUGUAAAAUAGAAAAAGAAAAACCUACCAACUAUCACGUUUCAAUGUUUUUUAUACAGACAAAGACGCCAGGCGGAGCAGUAUGGAGCUCAACCUUUGUUUAAGCGUCGACAAAAUGGCGGAUCUGUCUCUAUUCCUGCACUACCGAGCAAACGUGUGCUAAGAGUGAUACGUUUAUAAAUGUUCAUCUGUAUUCUUCUUCUGAUGUUUUAGCUUCAGAUGUGGUUCCUUUCCCCUUUAAAAACUAGUCGCUGCUCAACUACAAAACAAUGGUGACUUAAUACAACUGAACGAAGCACUUAAGGUUAUUUAACAUCAUCCAGAUCUACUGACGUCAUGAAGAAUGUAUCACAUAUUAAGUUUCACAAAUUAACUUUCAAGAACCACUGCGGCCUGAAGCUCAGCCAGGAGAUAAUUUUUCUCACUCUCUUCGGACUAAUCACUCUAGGACUAAACACCCACAGUGCUGGAAGAGGUCUGCUUUCUGAAGAUGUGGAAGUACCUUCAGUGCUGGUUCUGUGGUGCAAAAAAAUGGUUCUCCUGUUGCAUCACUGUGGAUACCCGCUUUUAGAACCAUUUCCCCUUAUGAUAUGGCCGUUUUUUUUUAAACCAGACAAAAGUGCACAUAAACUUUCAAACUGCUGAUGGCUUCCAUUUCCAUGGCUGCAGUCAGCAAAUCGAAGGAUCUCCUGUCUGCGGAUGAGGAAGCAUCCUCAGUGCUGGAAGCGGAGCUCUGCUUUCCAUCUACGUCUUUUGCAGCCUGCAGAUCAACCUCUGGACGCAGAGGAAGAUGGAUCAGUAGAGAUGUCAGUUUGUGUGUCGGCAAUGGUUGUGUGAGUCUCGAGAGGACUCAUCUGUUUCGGUGGGGGACACACAAGGCAGAAUCAGAAGGCUGGGUGCAGAAAUGGAAAUUUGCACUACCAGGAAUAGGAAGAGGAGGAGGCUUUGGCACCAUCAGAAGGUAUACCGGCCAAGUCUACUACAUCUGCAGAAGAUAACAGAAACUUCCCCCAUUUCAUUUUUUUCUUCUUCUCUUUUUGCCUUUAUCCAUUGUAGCACAAUAAACAUCACUAACCAUUCUCUAGAUAGAAAAAUAACACCUGAACAUUGUUUGCACAAACAUUGCAACAAAAAUGUUGGUUUUCCAAUAGGCAAUAAGAAUUUAGCUUGAUAUGUGAGUUAUACUUACUCCUGAUCGCCAGCUAAUGGAAUACUUAAAACAGAAAACAAAAAGAGAGCUGAAUGAGAUAGAUAUGUACCUAGAACAACCCACUUGCAGAACUUUAUCUUGACAGGUAUUCCUAUGAUUCCUAAAUUAUUCCUAUAAUGUUGGAUCUUUUAUUGAAAGCGUUCUAUUUGUUGAGACAUGUCUUCACUUUUGUAGGCCUGUAAUUGCUGUGUUUGUGUUGAGAGGCCUGACGCGCGAAAGGGGCGUUUGCAAAUGUUGUUUGAGAACAUGCUUUUCAUAAUUGUAGUUCCAAAGCAAGGUGACACUAGCUCUGAAACUGUAUACCAAUUCAAUGCUAAUAAGCUUUCAUUCAUUUUUUAAAGCUAUAAUGUUGUCUAAAUGUAUGUGUAUUUCUGUCUACCAUGUAGGCUUUUUGUAUCUUCAGGAAAAGAUUAAACAAAGUAGCCAGGUUUAUUUUUUUUAAGCAUUUGAAAUAUUUAAAGCACCCCGAUUACCGUAUUUUCCAGACUAUAACUCACACUUUUUUUCAUAGUUUGGCUGGUUCUGCGACUUAGUCAGGUGCGAUUAUUUAUCAAAAUUAAUUUGACAUGGACCAAGAGAAAUGAACCAAGAGAUAACAUUACCGUCUAUAGCCGCGAGAGGGUGCUCUAUGCUGCUCAGUGCUCCUGUAGUCUACACUUAAGACAUAGAGCGCCCUCUCGCGGCUGGAGAUGGUAAUGUUUUCUCUUGGUUCUUAGCUCUAAAUAAAUGCGACUUAUAGUCCAGUGCGACUUAUAUAUGUUUUUUUCCUCAUCAUGACGUAUUUUUGGACUGAUGCGACUUACGGUAUGCACGAUACUCAUUUAGGAUGCAAGAUUAAAAGAAUUAAAUCACAGCAGCUAGCUACACAGGAUGCCAAAGGUGUCUGGGACUAAUAUAGUGAAAAGAGUAUUAAUCAGUGGUUGAAAUAUUUAAAUCAAGCCUAAAUCAUAUAGAAACAUAUGUGAAUAUACCACCUACUUGUGUCAGAUACAGUGAUUUAGUACAGUGCAUUGCAUUCUUUUGUCUGGGUACCUAUCAUGAACUAUACUUUAGUUUAGUACAUAUAAACAUAUAAGGCAUUUAGAUCUUCUUACAUGGGCAUUUAUAAAGGAGGCACUUGAUUUUAUUCACAAUUGCAUUGGUAUAAUCCAGGGGUGGUUAGUCCUGUCCUUUACACAUACGAGUUAAUGCUAUUCUGUGCAUUUUCACAAUAUUAUGUAAAGACACAGUGCCACAAAAACACUUUCUUGAGCUUGAAUUACAUUUGUUUUGUUUUAUGGACAUAGUCUGAACACUCACCUGCCUGCUGGGUUUGCACAAACCUUCUGCUUUGAUUUUUCUGUACACUAGAGGUCAGUAUCAGCCCUCGUAAGAACUUUAACAUGUCUCUUGUCUGUACUUUUCAGUUUUCUUUUUUUUUUAUUGAUAUUUAUGGUUCUAAGGUUUUUAUGAAACCUUUCCCAUGCACAAAAGGUUCUUUAUAGUGGAACAUGUUCUUUAGAUUAUUAAAAAAUUAUUUACACUAAGAAAAGGGUAUAUAUAUAUAUAACUCAAAGGUUCCUUGGAGAGGCACAGGAGAGUUUUUCCAUUUAAUUUAAUCAAUGAUUUAACAGUGCAAUAUAUUUUAAAGUUGCAAUUAAUUAAACUAUUAAAAAGACAAGA